rnacentral:rRNA from 1 species
GGAAGGGCGUACGGCGAAUGCCUUGCCACUCGAAACUGAAGAAGGACGCGCCAAACUGCGAAAAGCUCCGUGAAGCUGUAAGGAAGCGAAGAAGCGGAGGUGUCCGAAUGGGGGAACCCGGCAGCAGACAUGAGCUGUCAUCUGCAGGUGAAUACAUGGCCUGCAAGAGAGGUACCCGGCGAACUGAAACAUCUAAGUAGCCGGAGGAAAAGAAAACAACAGUGAUUCCCUGAGUAGCGGCGAGCGAAAGGGGAGAAGCCCAAACCGGUUGAAGGACCGGGGUUGAAGGACCAUGACAUGGCAAGAACGAGGAUAGGAGAACGGGAUCGAAAGCCCGGCCGAAGAAGGUGAAAGCCCUGUAACCGAAAUCCGAGUAAAGCCUAAUGGGAUCCUGAGUACGGCGAGACACGAGAAAUCUUGUCGGAAGCAGGCGGGACCAUCCGCCAAGGCUAAAUAUAAACGAGUGAGCGAUAGUGAACCAGUACCGUGAGGGAAAGGUGAAAAGAACCGCGGGAGCGGAGUGAAAGAGAACCUGAAACCGUAUGCCUACAAGAAGUCAGAGCCCGUUAAGGGGUGAUGGCGUGCCUUUUGUAGAAUGAACCGGCGAGUUGCGACAGACUGCGAGGUUAAGGAGGAAAGACCGGAGCCGAAGCGAAAGCGAGUCUUAAGAGGGCGAAAGUAGGAUGUUGCAGACCCGAAACCGGGUGAUCUAGCCAUGAGCAGGUUGAAGUUGAGGUGAAACUCAAUGGAGGACCGAACCGACUACCGUUGAAAAGUUAGCGGAUGACUUGUGGCUAGGGGAGAAAUUCCAAUCGAACCCGGAGAUAGCUGGUUCUCCCCGAAAUAGCUUUAGGGCUAGCGUCGGAAAGAACCUUAGUGAAGGUAGAGCACUGAAUGUGUGAUGGCCCCAUCCCGGGGUACUGAAUACAAUCAAACUGCGAAUGUCAUUAAGGAUGUCCGGCAGUCAGACUGUGAGUGAUAAGGUCCAUGGUCAAGAGGGAAACAGCCCAGACCGCCAGUUAAGGUCCCAAAAUACAGGCUAAGUGGAAAAGGAUGUGGGGAUGCCCAGACAACUAGGAGGUUGGCUCAGAAGCAGCCAUCCUUUAAAGAGUGCGUAACAGCUCACUAGUCGAGUGACCCUGCGCCGAAAAUGUACCGGGGCUAAGCCUGAUACCGAAACUGCGGAUUGUAGGAAACUAUAGUGGUAGGGGAGCGUUGUAUACGAGCAGAAGCCGUACCGUGAGGAGCGGUGGAUUGUAUAGAAGUGAGAAUGCCGGUGUGAGUAGCGAGAUGUAGGUGAGAAUCCUACACACCGAAAGCCCAAGGAUUCCAGGGGAAGGUUCGUCCGCCCUGGGUAAGUCGGGACCUAACGCGAGGCCGAAAGGCGUAGUGGAUGGAAAGCAGGCGAAAGAUUCCUGCACCCGUAUAUGGAGCGAAGGAGUGACGGAGACGGAUAGUGUGACCCUCUUAAUGGAUUGAGGGCGAAGCGAAGCGGCUGGUUACCAGGCAAAUCCGGUAACCAAAAGGCUAGAGCGUGACAGGUAAGCGAAAUCUUCGGAAAGUAGCGAAGCACAUGAUGACGGCUUCCAGGAAAAGCUUCUGGCAAUGCAUAUGCGGCCCGUACCAAAACCGACACAGGUGGGCAGGGAGAGAAUCCCGAGGUGAGCGAGAGAACUGUUGCCAAGGAACUCGGCAAAAUGACUCCGUAAGUUAGCGAGAAGGAGUGCUUAAGCAAUUAAGCCGCAGUGAAGAGGCCCAAGCGACUGUUUAACUAAAACACAGCUCUCUGCGAAGUCGCAAGACGAAGUAUAGGGGGUGACACCUGCCCGGUGCUGGAAGGUUAAGAGGAUCUGUUAAGAGCGAUCUGAAGCAGUGAUCCGAAGCCCCAGUGAACGGCGGCCGUAACUAUAACGGUCCUAAGGUAGCGAAAUUCCUUGUCAGGUAAGUUCUGACCCGCACGAAAGGUGUAACGAUUUGGGCGCUGUCUCGGCAGCAGACUCGGUGAAAUCUUAGUACCUGUGAAAAUGCAGGUUACCCGCAACUAGACGGAAAGACCCCAUGGAGCUUUACUGCAGCCUGAUAUUGAAUUCUGGUCAUACAUGUACAGGAUAGGUGGGAGACAAAGAGACGUGCACGCCAGUGUACGAGGAGUCGACGUUGGGAUACCACUCUUGUGUGACCGGGGUUCUAACCUGGUAUCGAGAACAGGUACGGGGAGAGUGUCAGGUGGGCAGUUUGACUGGGGCGGUCGCCUCCCAAAGAGUAACGGAGGCGCCCAAAGGUUCCCUCAGCGCGGCCGGAAAUCGCGCGAAGAGUGUAAAGGCAGAAGGGAGCUUGACUGAGAGCCAAACACGGCGAUCAGGUACGAAAGUAGGGCUUAGUGAUCCGGUGGCAUCCAAGUGGAAGGGCCAUCGCUCAACGGAUAAAAGCUACCCUGGGGAUAACAGGCUAAUCUCUCCCAAGAGUCCAUAUCGACGGGGAGGUUUGGCACCUCGAUGUCGGCUCAUCACAUCCUGGGGCUGAAGUCGGUCCCAAGGGUUGGGCUGUUCGCCCAUUAAAGUGGUACGUGAGCUGGGUUCAGAACGUCGUGAGACAGUUCGGUCCCUAUCCAUCGCGGGCGCAAGAGAUUUGAAGGGGGCUGCUCCUAGUACGAGAGGACCGGAGUGGACGAACCAAUGGUGUACCAAUUAUCUCGCCAGAGGUAUAGUUGGGUAGCUACGUUCGGAAAGGAUAAACGCUGAAAGCAUCUAAGCGUGAAACCAGCCUUAAGAUGAGAUCUCUCAUAGAGUAAUCUAGUAAGACACCUUGGAGAAGACGAGGUUGAUAGGUCGGGAGUGUAAGUACAGUAAUGUAUUCAGCGGACCGAUACUAAUAUGUCGAGGGCUUGACUU